AACUCGGGGGUCAGGCAGCCCUGGUUUCAAUCCCAGCUUCCUAGCUGUGCGACCCAGGAAAAGAAAUGUCCAAGCUCUCCACCCCUGGAGAUGAGAAGGUAGAGAUGGGGAAGUUGGGCAGGGAGACCAAUUUGGAGUGCUGCGGUGGAGGCAAGGAGAGAGAAUACACCCAUUCUGGGAAAUGCUGAGUUGAAGACGUCCAGGUGGAACUGAGGAGAGAUGGACCUGGAGCCCAAGGGAGACAGGCUGAGCCCAGCAAGGGCAGGCGGAGGCCACGGGGGCACACGGCUGCUCCAGGAGAGAGUGGAUGGAGAAGUACAGUGGGGUGAGAGGGAGAUGAACAGAGGAAGAGGACAGGGGAAAUGGAAGAGGCAGAACAACACUUGAAGCC
rnacentral:lncRNA from 1 species